rnacentral:piRNA from 1 species
UAGGAGAGUGGAAUCUUCAAAAGAAGGCAAU